rnacentral:lncRNA from 1 species
UGAGCUGAAAUAUGAGUUGUCCAACUCUUGUAAGUGCAUGCUCCAUCACAUCAUCCUGAGUGAGUAAUGAGGAUGCCAUUGUACCCUUCAAGCAGCCCUGGAGAGUUUAUCUCUGCAUGCUGGAGCUAAUAAUAAUAGAAUCUCAAGAGUCUUCAAACAUCCAUAUUAUGCUGAUGUCUUUUAAGGUGAUUCAACUCAGCAUAUGUUGUUUGAAGCCGUGAGACUGAGUGAGAUCAUGGAGGAAGUGAAUGUAAAUAGAAAAGGGAAGAAGUCUAAAGACGGAGCCCUGAGACACUCCAUUGUAAACUGGAAGAUGAGGAAGAGCCAGCAAAGGAGGCUGAGAAGGGGCAGCCAGUGAAGAUGGAGCCAGGGCUAGAGUAAGAGCCCCUUCUGGGAUGCUGUGACCCCCAAGUUUGAAGACCACUGCUAAUCCCAAUCUACGAAGACUAGCUAUAGAACUUCCUACACUGAGACAACUCCAGUGGAACUCUGUUAAUUAUCCUAAAAUAAGGAGGCUUCUUCAGUAGCCCUUGAAAUAUGUUCAAAUACGUGAUUACAUUUAUGUCCUUA